rnacentral:lncRNA from 1 species
AGAACAGUGCCAGGAAAGGCCUUAGAGAAGCUGGCAUGUGACCUGAAGCCCAGAUGAGAAGGAGCCAGCCAGACCAAGGGCUGGGGGAAGAGUGGUCCAGGCAGAGCGAAGAGCAAGUGCAGCAGCCCUGGGGUCUGCAUCCAAGAGGAGAGGAUGUGCCCCAUCGAAAGGGAACAGCUGCCACCCAGCUCCAGUCAACUGUUUCCAUGCAGGAAUGUGGGGCCAAUGCUGUAAGAUCUC